GGAAAGAGGCAGUGAGAUGAGGUUUGAAGUGCCACUGCAGCCACCUUCUCCUUCUCUGAUGAUUUCCAAAUAUCUAACUAGUGAAUCUUUUCGAUUGAGGUUUCUGAACUGUGACAUGCAAAACCACAUCCAUAAUGUAAAAGAUAAUUGGAGCCAAAUGAGUAAAAACAAUGCAGCAAGGGCAAACAGGAAAAUCCCAGCCCUUUAAGAAACUCAAAUAAAUUAAACCAAUCACUGUGGAUGAAAAAUACAAUGUGUUCAAUUAAUCUAAAUGGGAUAGCAGUCAACUGCAAAACUCCACUGAAGCAGCGAUGAGAGGGGGUAGAGGUGGCUAACAGAUGUCCUUUUCAAGUGGUGAGUGAAGAUUAUUUCACGUACAUUGGCUGGAGUACUGACUACAUGGCCUGAGUGACUAUAUAAAUCUUCCAAAGAAGAUGAAAAUCCAUUUCAAACAUAUUUGUAACACACAUUUAUAUUGUUGUUUCUCUUUAACCAAACAGGCUUUUUAUUCCAUUGAAUUGGCUUUUAAGAGAAAUUUACCAUUAUACUCAAAAUGUUUUGACAGCUACUCUACUGUUCAAUUGUUGCAAUGCAUUAAAUAUGGGGUAAUUUAAUUUAUAUUUUUUUAAUUAUCUGCCCUCAAGUAGAGGUUACAUCUUAGUGACUAUAUACUGUCGGUUUCUCCCUGACCUAAACUCUUCAGCUGUUUGUCAUUUCUUUAUUAUUAUAAAUAAGCAAAGCCUUCAGUUAAA